rnacentral:rRNA from 1 species
UACGUAGGGGGCUAGCGUUGUCCGAAAUCAUUGGGCGUAAAGCGCGUGUAGGCGGUCCGGUAAGUCCGCUGUGAAAGUCGGGGGCUCAACCCUCGAAUGCCGGUGGAUACUGUCAGACUAGAGUACGGAAGAGGCGAGUGGAAUUCCUGGUGUAGCGGUGAAAUGCGCAGAUAUCAGGAGGAACACCCAUUGCGAAGGCAGCUCGCUGGGACGUUACUGACGCUGAGACGCGAAGGCGUGGGGAGCGAGCGGG